UGGGGAAUAUUGCACAAUGGGGAAGACCCUGAUGCAGCAACGCCGCGUGAAGGAAGACGGUUUUCGGAUUGUAAACUUCUGUUCUUAGUGAAGAAUAAUGACGGUAGCUAAGGAGCAAGCCACGGCUAACUACGUGCCAGCAGCCGCGGUAAUACGGAGGAUCCGAGCGUUAUCCGGAUUUAUUGGGUUUAAAGGGUGCGUAGGCGGUUGAUUAAGUCAGCGGUAAAAGCCCGGGGUCUCAACCCCGGCGAGCCGUUGAAACUGGUCGGCUGGAGUUGGAGAGAAGUAUGCGGAAUGCGCGGUGUAGCGGUGAAAUGCAUAGAUAUCGCGCAGAACUCCGAUUGCGAAGGCAGCAUACCGGCUCCAUACUGACGCUGAGGCACGAAACGCGUGGGUAUCGAACAGGAUUAGAUACC
rnacentral:rRNA from 1 species